UUUAGGACAUCUUCUGGCUUCCCAUCAAACCUAAAUGAAACAGCAACAUUUAUAUAAGUACAAUUAGUAUCGGCAGAAAAUCUGACAAUUCAAAGCAAUGUAGAUAAAGGAAAAAAGACAACCGUGUUUUUGGCUAAGUAAAGGUAUUGGUCCUCGUUGUCAGGCCCACAUUUUUGCAUAUGAACCCGUAUAUAUAUAUAUAUAUAUAUAUAUAACAGUAGGAAUCCCCAGUUCUCUAUUGCUAUUUAUCUAGUCUUUGGUUAUUCAAAGUCAAAGUGAUUUUCAAACCUAAUGGCAUGCUUGCAGUUUUCCCUCCGACAAGAGGAUAGUUAAUAUUUUACAAAUUGGCUUGAAACAGAAUGUAAAAGACAUCACCAUGUGAUUCAUACAGCAAUAAAGAUGUCAAGAAAAGUUACCAGUCCUUCCGAUGCCACAUCUCGUAGCUUUCCAGGUUUUACAUUUGUUAUCAGCACAACAUGGCGAUUCUUUAAAGAAAAUUGAAGAAAAGAAAUGUAAACAAAGUAUUUCUCAUUACAAUAAAAAUGAAUAUAACUGAUUAAGUUCAGGAAAA